UGGUUUGUUUGGUUGGAAAAAAUUAGUUAUUAUCAGAAUAUUAAGUAACUAAUACAAAAUGGGAACUGCGUUUGUAGUGUGUAGCCUGAAAAACAAGUUUGUUGAUGAGUAAUUUGAUUAGUCAAAUCUUCUGUAGGCGAGACGGCGAACCGAAGACACCGCAGUCACAUCUAGAAAUCUGGGGUUUCGAGAGGUUCGCAUGAACUUUGUAGUGCUAAAGCUAUUUUAGGAACUUUUUUUUAGGAAUUUUAGUCAUUGGUUCACAUUUUGAACAUCUUUUACAUUCAUCUCUGUUUUUUAGGUUCCAGUUCAGUGUGAAGACAUUGAGAAAAUUUCAGUCGAGUGUCAGGAUGACCAAAUCGGUUUACAUGCUGAAGUGGUUUAUGAUCAAGGAUCUUUUCCAUUACGGAGGUGCACUCCAUUUGUGACUGCAUCACAUCAUCAUGGAGAAACACAAAAUCACAUUGCUGCUGGUCAAGUUCAGAUUUCAUUUGCUGUGAACAGACAUAUCAGAGCAUCUGCUGGAUUCUCCACUAACACAGAUGUUAUGGAUGCUGAAAGCCUAACAUUCACAGAUGGGCCCUCUACGGGUUGUAGGGCACAAGUUGAGAAUGAGAUAGGAAGCAACGGCCGAGAACUGAUGAAUGGAGAUGAACGCAAUAAAAUGAAGAAGCCGGUGCAUCCAAAAGAAAAGAAGAAAAAACUUCGAAAGAGGGCAAAAAAUCAAAUCAAAUCCCAAAAAGAUGAAGCCAAUCUCUAACUGUGAUGAAAAGUGCAUUUAUCACUUUUGCAACACUUUCUUGCUUUUAGAAUUUUUGCUAUUUUAAUCUUGAAUAGUAGUACAAUUGCAAUGUACUGUAUAGUCAAACGCUAGAUAAAGUAUGUUUAAUAUUACAAUUUUUAAAUUGUUUUUUAUGAUAUUUUUUAUGCUAAGCCUUUAUUAUGAAUUAGUUUUGAUAAGCUUGAUUAAAAUUUAAACUGAACUGUU